UGGGGAAUUUUGGACAAUGGGCGAAAGCCUGAUCCAGCAAUACCGCGUGUGUGAUGAAGGCCUUCGGGUCGUAAAGCACUUUCAGUUGUGAAGAAAUGCACAUGGUUAAUAGCCAUGUGAGCUGACGUUAACAACAAAAGAAGCACCGGCUAACUCUGUGCCAGCAGCCGCGGUAAUACAGAGGGUGCAAGCGUUAAUCGGAAUUACUGGGCGUAAAGCGCGCGUAGGUGGGUAGUUAAGUUAUGUGUGAAAGCCCCGGGCUCAACCUGGGAAUUGCACGUAAGACUGGCUAUCUAGAGUAUAGUAGAGGGAAGUAGAAUUUCCGGUGUAGCGGUGAAAUGCAUAGAUAUCGGAAGGAAUACCAGUGGCGAAGGCGACUUCCUGGGCUAUUACUGACACUGAGGCGCGAAAGCGUGGGGAGCAAACAGG
rnacentral:rRNA from 1 species